UACGGGGGGGGCAAGCGUUGUUCGGAAUUACUGGGCGUAAAGGGCUCGUAGGCGGCCAACUAAGUCGGACGUGAAAUCCCUCGGCUUAACCGGGGAACUGCUUCCGAUACUGGAUGGCUUGAGUGUGGGAGAGGGAUGCGGAAUUCCAGGUGUAGCGGUGAAAUGCGUAGAUAUCUGGAGGAACACCGGGGGCGAAGGCGGCAUCCUGGACCAUUACUGACGCUGAGUGAGCGAAAGCCAGGGGAGCAAACGGG
rnacentral:rRNA from 1 species